CUGAACUUAGCAUAUCAAUAAGCGGAGGA
rnacentral:rRNA from 1 species